rnacentral:lncRNA from 1 species
GCCCUACCUUCAUGGAUGAAAACCUCCCAGAGAGGGAGUGUGGAAGAGCCCACCCCCUACAGCACUCAGGGUUACUCUGUAGAUGCCUUGAGCAGCCUCAUCACGCCCCAUGGGCCCAGGAGGCUGGAUCUGUUCAGAGUUCUCUUGCGCCCCAUUCCAUUUGACACCCCAGCCAAUGGCCCAAGGUUCACAACUUCUCCAGCCCUCCACGAAGAAGCUGGAGGGAGUAGGGUGCACAGGCUCUUUGAAGAUGCUGAGUGAGGUCCCAGGGCACCCACAGGAGCAGCCACCUCAGCCCAGGGACACAGAAUCUCUGCCCGGCCAGGCAGCAGGCGCUGACUCUCACGCUGUCCGGCUCAAAGAGCUGUUUUCCCCAGGUACUUGCAGCAGCAGCUGGCCUGGGACCCGCCCCCGGGCAAAGUCCGCUCCGGAGCCUGUCACUCCUGGGCGCGGGCCACCCAGCCCCUGGCGCCCUGGCGCCCUGGCGCUCAGCGCUCCCUGGGCGCGCCCUCUGGCGGCAAGAGCCCUGAACAUUCGCAAGCGGCGAAGGCUGGGGAGUGUUAUUCUGGGCACCCAUCGACCGAAUCGCUGGGCAGGGCCGCAAGGUGACUUGCUAACGCAAUUAGACCAGAAAGGAGCGCUCGUCUAA